AACAUACUCCCUCCGUUCGAAAAUGCUUGUUCAAAAAAUGAAUGUAUCUAGACGUAUUUUAGUUCUAUAUACAUCAAUUUCUAUUCAUUUAUGUGACAAGUAAUUCCGGACGGAGGGAGUAAACA
rfam:Triticum aestivum genome assembly, contig: Triticum_aestivum_CS42_TGACv1_scaffold_194733_3AL